rnacentral:rRNA from 1 species
UUUGCGCAAUGGGGGAAACCCUGACGCAGCAACGCCGCGUGAGUGAAGAAGGCCUUCGGGUCGUAAAGCUCUGUCAAGUGGGAAAAAAUYUUCAUCGUURACAGCGCUGANGAGUGAUGGUACCACUAAAGGAAGCACCGGCUAACUCCGUGCCAGCAGCCGCGGUAAUACGGAGGGUGCUAGCGUUGUUCGGAAUUACUGGGCGUAAAGAGCGUGUAGGCGGUUUGGUAAGUCAGGCGUGAAAGCCCAGGGCUCAACCCUGGAAGUGCGCUUGAAACUGCCAUGCUUGAGUAUGGGAGAGGAGAGUGGAAUUCCCAGUGUAGAGGUGAAAUUCGUAGAUAUUGGGAGGAACACCCGUGGCGAAGGCGACUCUCUGGACCAAUACUGACGCUGAGACGCGAAAGCGUGGGGAGCAAACAGGAUUAGAUACCCUGGUAGUCCACGCCGUAAACGAUGAGAACUAGGUGUAGCGGGUAUUGACCCCUGCUGUGCCGUAGYUAACGCAUUAAGUUCUCCGCCUGGGGAGUACGRYCGC